rnacentral:lncRNA from 1 species
CAAGGGCCCAAACCUCAAUGAAUUCUUUUUUAUUUUUAGGAGGUACUGGGGAUGGCACCUGGGACCUUGUUCACACAAAGUAAAUGCUCAACCACUGAGCUACACCUGCUCCUGAAUUCUCUUUUAGAAUCAGCUUUUCCAUCUUUAACAACUACUAUAGGGCCUCUGAGGAGGACAAGGGUCGAUGCAUUCCAAAAGAAACUUCUGAUCAUGUAUGGAUUUCACCUAGUUCUGACUUGAAAUGAACACUUUUCCUCCUCACUCCAGUAGCAUAGCUAGAAAGUUUUACACUCUGUCAGGCAGGGACUACAAUCACUAAUCCGAAGCAGAUACAGAAAACCACUCUUAAAAGCUCCCCUUAACAUUAAGGGUGUACAACUCACUCAGGCAGGUGUAUGGGGGGAUUGAGGCAGGAUAGAAUAGGGACCUGAGGAGGAGGGGCAGAAAACCCCAAGUGCAAAUUCACAAAGCACAAACAUCCUUAUCAGAAUGCAAAUUGCAAUAUUUUUGCACAGCAGAAAGAAGGAAACACAAGAAGCACCCCCCACCCACCUACUUUCAUAAAUCUCUCACCCAGUAAACACACAGGAGGGCUCAUAGACAGUGACCAGAGGCCAAUCACCAAUGGUCAACACACCCUGCAGGGUUGUGGACAGCAAUCAGAAGCCAACUGUCACCAAACAAUCCCUAGAAACCAAACCACUCAAUGAGUUUCCCUGCUUUGUUGUAAUACACCAGUCAGUGUGGACCCUAACCCCAUAUGAUAACCAAUAAAACCAGAAAACCCUAGAGAGGGAGCAUGUGUCUCUUCCUUGAGCAUGCCCACACUCAUGCCUGAGUGUGUACUUUCUCCUCAU